CCAGCAGUGGGGAAUAUUGGACAAUGGGGGGAACCCUGAUCCAGCCAUGCCGCGUGUGUGAAGAAGGCCUUAUGGUUGUAAAGCACUUUAAGCGAGGAGGAGGGUACUGGUAUUAAUACUACCAGGUACUGGACGUUACUCGCAGAAUAAGCACCGGCUAACUCUGUGCCAGCAGCCGCGGUAAUACAGAGGGUGCGAGCGUUAAUCGGAUUUACUGGGCGUAAAGCGUGCGUAGGCGGCUAAUUGAGUCGGAUGUGAAAUCCCCGAGCUUAACUUGGGAAUUGCAUUCGAUACUGGUUAGCUAGAGUGUGGGAGAGGAUGGUAGAAUUCCAGGUGUAGCGGUGAAAUGCGUAGAGAUCUGGAGGAAUACCGAUGGCGAAGGCAGCCAUCUGGCCUAACACUGACGCUGAGGUACGAAAGCAUGGGGAGCAAACAGGAUUAGAUACCCUGGUAGUCCAUGCCGUAAACGAUGUCUACUAGCCGUUGGUCUCUUUGAGGGAUUAGUGGCGCAGCUAACGCGAUAAGUAGACC
rnacentral:rRNA from 1 species